AUAACGAGUAUAAGCGUUCAACAUUCAGAUGAUGUCUUGGAUCAUUUGAAUGUGGGUCAUUGCUCCAUUG
rfam:Acinetobacter populi strain PBJ7 Contig4, whole genome shotgun sequence.